rnacentral:rRNA from 1 species
CACGAACGCUGGCGGCAGGCUUAACACAUGCAAGUCGAGCGCCCCGCAAGGGGAGCGGCAGACGGGUGAGUAACGCGUGGGAAUCUACCCAUCUCUACGGAAUAACGCAUGGAAACGUGUGCUAAUACCGUAUACGUCAUUCGGGAGAAAGAUUUAUCGGAGAUGGAUGAGACCGCGUUGGAUUAGCUAGUGGGUGGGGUAAUGGCAUACCAAGGCGACGAUCCAUAGCUAUUCUGAGAGGAUGAUCAGCCACACUGGGACUGAGACACGGCCCAGACUCCUACGGGAGGCAGCAGUGGGGAAUAUUGGACAAUGGGCGCAAGCCUGAUCCAGCCAUGCCGCGUGAGUGAUGAAGGCCCUAGGGUUGUAAAGCUCUUUCACCGGUGAAGAUAAUGACGGUAACCGGAGAAGAAGCCCCGGCUAACUUCGUGCCAGCAGCCGCCGUAAUAC